GUAAACGAUGUCUACUUGGAGGUUGUGCCCUUGAGGCGUGGCUUCCGGAGCUAACGCGUUAAGUAGACCGCCUGGGGAGUACGGCCGCAAGGUUAAAACUCAAAUGAAUUGACGGGGGCCCGCACAAGCGGUGGAGCAUGUGGUUUAAUUCGAUGCAACGCGAAGAACCUUACCUGGUCUUGACAUCCACAGAAGAAUCCAGAGAUGGAUUUGUGCCUUCGGGAACUGUGAGACAGGUGCUGCAUGGCUGUCGUCAGCUCGUGUUGUGAAAUGUUGGGUUAAGUCCCGCAACGAGCGCAACCCUUAUCCUUUGUUGCCAGCGGUUAGGCCGGGAACUCAAAGGAGACUGCCAGUGAUAAACUGGAGGAAGGUGGGGAUGACGUCAAGUCAUCAUGGCCCUUACGACCAGGGCUACACACGUGCUACAAUGGCGCAUACAAAGAGAAGCGACCUCGCGAGAGCAAGCGGACCUCAUAAAGUGCGUCGUAGUCCGGAUUGGAGUCUGCAACUCGACUCCAUGAAGUCGGAAUCGCUAGUAAUCGUGGAUCAGAAUGCCACGGUGAAUACGUUCCCGGGCCUUGUACACACCGCCCGUCACACCAUGGGAGUGGGUUGCAAAAGAAGUAGGUAGCUUAACCUUCGGGAGGGCGCUUACCACUUUGUGAUUCAUGACUGGGGUGAAGUCGUAACAAGGUAACCGUAGGGGAACCUGCGGUUGGA
rnacentral:rRNA from 1 species